UGAUGAUAGAUACAAAACAGGAUGGAUUUUUGAGGGUUCGACGGCUGGAUAACAUUUUGGAAACAAAUGAAAGACAAAUAAUGGUCCAGAUUGAACCGUAAACGCUUUUAAUCACCUCUCUCCCAGUGCAGGUCAUGCUUGCAAUUAUUAACUGAAUCUCUGGAAUUAUUUUCAUUCGUAUUAGAUUUACUCACCACCUCUCUAAAUUGAUUGCUCUUUAAUUUCCUUUUCUCAAUUCCAUAACGGCUCUGGAUCUCAAACCCAUAAAUAGCAUUCACUCAAACCCCGUGAAUGAUUAAUCCUCUCAUCUCCCUGUUAUGGAUUUAUCCGGACGUUUAAUUAAAACGCUCAUCUUUCCCUUUAAUGGCUUCCCAAUAUAUAAUGUCUGAGCUGAAUGGAAAACCACAUCGGUUGCACCCCUCGCCACAACAAUUAAAUCCGUCUGAUGUUUUUCCAAUGGUAUCUCAUAAGCAUCUGGCUGACCCGAAUAUGGGGUAUCAGCUUGAUGAGGUUCUGGAAUCUGGGUCAUAAAAAAAGGUGUAGUGAUUGCACCAUUUCUUGCAAAUGAGAAUCCUGUACCCGAGGAAAAAGAGAAAAUUCGCGGUUUAUCAGUGGAAGAGGAAAUACUCAAUGAGUCAAUGUGAUUAGUUCUAAUCUUAAUGAAAAUGAUCCAGUCAGUAGGUGGUCCCACCGGUCGCCAACACCCAGGUGCUUCAGAGGCUCGCUCAGCAGCCUUGCCAAAUGUGAGAACUCAUAAUUGAAAACUUCAGACUGGUGCAAUGACAACAUUUGGAGAAGCACUGUGUUGUGGUUACUCGACUGAAAAUUCCAGAGGUCGCUACGACUUGGAUUGAGGCAACAUACAUUUCCACCUUUCAGGAAUGGGGUUUUGUGAUCUACUUUUCGGCAGCCUACGUUUCCUACCUUUUUCAAAACAUGGGUUGAGAGAGUUGUUCUGGAUAUGGAAAUCUCUAAACGUCUAAAGGUUUUAAUGGAUAAAUAUACAGGAGACUAUUGGCUAGGAUGCAGCAAGAUGCAGACUUAUGCAGAAAGUACCGUAAAAGGUCCACGAACAUACUGUCAUUUAUAUCCACCAAGAAAUACGUAAUAAGAGUAAAAUUAAGAUAGGAAACGGUGAGAAUUAGUAUUUUCUGGAGUGGAGAUUGGAGAAACGUUUGUGGCUUUGGAGUUGGGAUGUGAUAUAAUUGAACAAUGACUUGGACAUAAGUGAGAAAUUUUCAUGGAAGCUGACACACGUGGCCUUUGGUAUUGUAACAUUGGGUUCUUCUGACUCAAAGAACAAGUAAUUGUGUUAAUGAAGUAACUAAGUAAUAACUUUUCCAGAUUGAUUCUUCUAACAAUGAUUUGGACACACAUGCAGAUAGGAAUUUAUGAAUGUUAAGGUCAGUAUGAAAUAUAUGAUCUAAGUCCUUCAGACUUCCCAAUCUGCAAAUUGCAAAGCCUUUCAGUUUGUUGAACUAGCUCUGAAGGGAGAUCUGUUCCGGGAUGUAAGAAGAUGUCCCAAAAUUGUAAGUAUAAAAUGACAAAGAAUAACAUACACGGACGCCGACUGAGAAUGGGUGGCGUUUAAAGAAUGUUUGUCGUUGGUCAUUCCCUUUUUGUCAUAUGGUUAUUGUUCUCGAUUAUUUUAUUUUUUCAAAUUUUCCAUAACUACAAAAAAAACA